rnacentral:rRNA from 1 species
UACGUAGGGUGCAAGCGUUAAUCGGAAUUACUGGGCGUAAAGCGUGCGCAGGCGGUUAUGUAAGUCAGGUGUGAAAUCCCCGGGCUUAACCUGGGGACUGCAUUUGUGACUGCAUAGCUAGAGUACGGUAGAGGGGGAUGGAAUUCCGCGUGUAGCAGUGAAAUGCGUAGAUAUGCGGAGGAACACCGAUGGCGAAGGCAAUCCCCUGGACCUGUACUGACGCUCAUGCACGAAAGCGUGGGGAGCAAACAGG